rnacentral:rRNA from 1 species
CCUACGGGUGGCUGCAGUGAGGAAUAUUGGUCAAUGGGCGUAAGUCUGAACCAGCCAAGUCGCGUGAGGGAUGAAGGUUCUAUGGAUCGUAAACCUCUUUUAUAAGGGAAUAAAGUGCGGGACGUGUCCGGUUUUGUAUGUACCUUAUGAAUAAGGAUCGGCUAACUCCGUGCCAGCAGCCGCGGUAAUACGGAGGAUCCGAGCGUUAUCCGGAUUUAUUGGGUUUAAAGGGUGCGUAGGUGGAUUGUUAAGUCAGCUGUGAAAGUUUGUGGCUCAACCAUAGAAUUGCCGUUGAAACUGGGAGGCUUGAGUAUAGUAGAGGCAGGCGGAAUGCGUGGUGUAGCGGUGAAAUGCUUAGAUAUCACGCAGAACCCCGAUUGCGAAGGCAGCCUAC